rnacentral:misc_RNA from 1 species
UCACGCCUUACGGCGGCAGUUUCACUAGAGUGCCCCACUUAAGGCUGGCAACUAACGACAGAGGUUGCGCUCGUUGCGGGACUUAACCCAACAUCUCACGACACGAGCUGACGACAGCCAUGCACCACCUGUGCACUGAUCCCGAAGGAGGACCGUAUUUCUACGGUUUUCCAGUGCAUGUCAAGCCCUGGUAAGGUUCUUCGCGUUGCAUCGAAUUAAACCACAUGCUCCGCUGCUUGUGCGGGGCCCCGUCAAUUCCUUUGAGUUUUAGCCUUGCGGCCGUACUCCCCAGGCGGGGUGCUUAAUGCGUUAGCUACGGCACGGAAGGAGUCGACACCUCCCACACCUAGCACCCAUCGUUUACGGCGUGGACUAC